rnacentral:rRNA from 1 species
UCACUUGUCUAUUAAUUGUAGACCCGUAUGAAAGGCUAAAUGAGGGCCUAACUGUCUCUUAUAAUAAAUCAAUUAAACUGAUCUCCCAGUCCAAAAGCUGGAAUACCACCAUAAGACCAGAAGACCCUGUGAAGCUUAAACUAAACUAUUAAACCUUAUAAUAACUCCUUUCGGUUGGGGCGACCUUGGAAAUAAAAAGAACUUCCAAAUAAUGACCUCCUCUCAUAUACCUAGGCCAACAAGCCAAAAUAAGAUCCAGUAUAGCUGAUAACUGAACCAAGUUACUCCAGGGAUAACAGCGCCAUCUUCUUCAAGAGCCCAUAUCAAAAAGAAGGUUUACGACCUCGAUGUUGGAUCAGGACAUCCUAUUGGUGCAGCCGCUAUUAAGGGUUCGUUUGUUCAACGAUUAAUAGUCCUACGUGAUCU